AUCUUCCUCGCUCGACGAAGGUCAGGGCUAGGGUUUCUUGCGUUCCUUCCGUCCACUGUAGUAAUGAGGCAAUGUGGCAAAUGAAUUUGAGAGGGAGUGAGUCAAUGGAAUCUGGACCCUAUCCCGAGAGGCCAGGAGAGCCAGACUGUGCUUAUUACAUCAGGACUGGCCUCUGUAGAUUUGGAAUGACUUGUAAAUUUAACCACCCACCCAAUAGAAAGCUGGCUAUUGCUGCUGCAAGAAUUAAGGGGGGUUAUCCCGAAAGAGUAGGGCAACCAGAGUGUCAGGUAAAGCUUUUAUCUUUGUUAAUCCUUUUGGGAAUUGAACAACUUGUUUUCCCAUCUUUUUCUUCAUUUCUUAGGCAUGUAGUAUGAUCUGUAGUGAAUACCAGGGAUCUCUUACCAAAACUACUUCUCUAUAAAUGUUGAUCGGUAGUGUGGAAGGUGGUAGCUUGCUGCUCUAUAGCUUUUAUGUUAUUCUAAGUUGCUAGUGAUUAUUUUAUGUGUAUGUUCAGAUGGAUCCAGGUUGCUACAUCAUCAUAUAUUAAUAAUCCUGAAACCUGGCUAGUUGCAUGUUUUAGUUAUGUUAUGUUCUUUAAGCUGUUCAAGU